CGGAGGAUCCAAGCGUUAUCCGGAUUUAUUGGGUUUAAAGGGUGCGUAGGCGGCCUGUUAAGUCAGGGGUGAAAGACGGUAGCUCAACUAUCGCAGUGCCCUUGAUACUGAUGGGCUUGUAUGGACUAGAGGUAGGCGGAAUGAGACAAGUAGCGGUGAAAUGCAUAGAUAUGUCUCAGAACACCGAUUGCGAAGGCAGCUUACUAUGGUCUUAUUGACGCUGAGGCACGAAAGCGUGGGGAUCAAACAGGAUUAGAUACCCUGGUAGUCCACGCCCUAAACGAUGAACACUCGCUGUUGGCGAUACACAGUCAGCGGCUAAGCGAAAGCGUUAAGUGUUCCACCUGGGGAGUACGCCCGCAAGGGUG
rnacentral:rRNA from 1 species